rnacentral:rRNA from 1 species
UUAAGUCAGAGGUGAAAUCCCAUAGCUUAACUCUGGAACUGCCAUUGAUACUGUUCAUCUUGAGUAUGAUUGAGGAAAGCGGAAUUUCUAGUGUAGCGGUGAAAUGCGUAGAUAUUACAAAGAACACCCAUGGCGAAGGCAGCUUUCUGGAUCAUUACUGACGCUGAUGAACGAAAGCAUGGGGAGCGAACAGGAUUAGAUACCCUGGUAGUCCAUGCCGUAAACGAUGUGCGCUAGACGUUGGAAAUUUAUUUUCAGUGUCGCAGGGAAACCGAUAAACACACCGCCUGGGGAGUACGACCGCAAGGAUUGAAACUCAAAUGAAUUGACG